GACGAACGCUGGCGGCGUGCUUAACACAUGCAAGUCGAACGGUGACCUCGGAGCUUGCUCCGGCGAUCAGUGGCGAACGGGUGAGUAACACGUGAGUACCCUGCCCCUGGCUCUGGGAUAACCCCGGGAAACCGAGGCUAAUACCGGAUACGACACAGACAGGCAUCUGUACUGUGUGGAAAGUUUUUCGGCUAGGGAUGGACUCGCGGCCUAUCAGCUUGUUGGUGAGGUAACGGCCCACCAAGGCRACGACGGGUAGCCGGCCUGAGAGGGCGACCGGCCACACUGGGACUGAGACACGGCCCAGACUCCUACGGGAGGCAGCAGUGGGGAAUAUUGCGCAAUGGGCGAAAGCCUGACGCAGCRACRCCGCGUGGGGRAUGAAGGCCUUCGGGUUGUAAACCUCUUUCAGCAGGGAAGAAGSGCAARUGACGGUACCUGCAGAAU
rnacentral:rRNA from 1 species